rnacentral:RNase_P_RNA from 1 species
UCGGUAUGAAGUUCUAUCGCUGUGUAUUUUUUAUACAGAGGAAAGUCCGGACAGCAAAGAGCACCGAACUCUUGUGAAAGAGUAGGCUGUAAAGUUUAAGUAACGCAGAAGAAAAUAACCGCCUGAGCUUGUCUUAGGUAAGGGUGAGAACGUGAGGUAAGAGCUUACGAAUAUUGUUGGCGACAGCAAUAUUGUGUGUCUUUCGGGUUGCAAGACCAUGUAAACCGACAUUUUCGGCUUCGGCUGGAAAAAUGUUGCUCGCAUUUGUCGGAGGGUAGGUCGCAAAGAUAAAUGAUAGAAGCUCUUCUUCGGAAGAGUACAGAAUUCGGCUUAUAUUCAUACCGGUUUU